CCUACGGGAGGCAGCAGUGGGGAAUUUUGGACAAUGGGCGCAAGCCUGAUCCAGCCAUGCCGCGUGUGGGAAGAAGGCCUUCGGGUUGUAAACCACUUUUGUCAGGGAAGAAACGGUCUGAACUAAUACUUUGGACUAAUGACGGUACCUGAAGAAUAAGCACCGGCUAACUACGUGCCAGCAGCCGCGGUAAUACGUAGGGUGCAAGCGUUAAUCGGAAUUACUGGGCGUAAAGCGUGCGCAGGCGGCUUUGCAAGACAGAUGUGAAAUCCCCGGGCUCAACCUGGGAACUGCAUUUGUGACUGCAUGGCUAGAGUACGGUAGAGGGGGAUGGAAUUCCGCGUGUAGCAGUGAAAUGCGUAGAUAUGCGGAGGAACACCGAUGGCGAAGGCAAUCCCCUGGACCUGUACUGACGCUCAUGCACGAAAGCGUGGGGAGCAAACAGGAUUAGAUACCCUGGUAGUCCACGCCCUAAACGAUGUCAACUGGUUGUUGGGAGGGUUUCUUCUCAGUAACGAAGCUAACGCGCGAAGUUGACCGCCUGGGGAGUACGGCCGCAAGGUUGAAACUUAAGGAAUUGACGGCUUGAGAGUGCGAGACGACGACGAGGGAGGAGG
rnacentral:rRNA from 1 species